rnacentral:rRNA from 1 species
UACAGAGGUCCCAAGCGUUGUUCGGAUUCACUGGGCGUAAAGGGUGCGUAGGUGGUUAGGUAAGUCCGAUGUGAAAUCUCCAGGCUACAACCUGGGAAAUGGCAUUGGAUACUAUCUAGCUUGAGGAGUGGAGGGGGACUGGAAUUCUCGGUGUAGCAGUGAAAUGCGUAGAUAUCGAAGAGGAACACCAGUGGCGAAGGCGAGUCCCUGG